rfam:Zea mays cultivar B73 chromosome 2, whole genome shotgun sequence.
ACUUGUCUAACUCAGUUGGUAAAAUACAAGGCUCUUAACCUUGUGGUCGUGGGUUCAAGCUCCACGGUGGGCG